CCCCCACUCCCCCGCCCCGGGCGGCCGUCGGGUGCCGCUUGCCAUCGCGCUGGGAGAUAUUUUCGGGUGGCAGGAGCCGCCUCGUCAUUUCCGCCAGGAGGAGAAAAAGACACCGGCGCGGACAGAGACGCAGAGCCGCAGCCCCCCGCUCGCCGGGGAGCGACCCUUCGGCGGGGCCGUGUCGUGCGGUGCCGAGCCGAGCCGGGCCGGGCCGGGCCUGGCCGGGAGCUGCCGCCGCCGCCCGCGGGUCCACGGGGGCGGGAGGCGUCGGAGCGUGCUGCUGCUACCGCCUCCUCCCCUUCCUCCUCCUCCUCCUCCUCCCCCUGCCGCCGAGCCGGCAACAUGAACUGAAAUCCCCAGAGAGGCACAGAGGCGGCGAGCGAGCGGAGCGGAGCAGAGGCAAGCGGGGAUUUAGAGGCUUUCUUCAUCCUCCUCCUCCUCAUCCUUCUCCUCCGGGGCAGCCCCGGCUCCGGGCAGCGCGGUCCCAGCGCCCCGCACAGCCUCGCCCCUCGCCUGGAGAGCGGCGGCCGCCCGAGCCCCGCGCCGCCGAAGCCCCCCAUGGCCCUCAUUAUGGAGCCCGUCAGCAAGUGGUCGCCGAGCCAGGUCGUCGACUGGAUGAAAGGUCUUGAUGACUGCCUGCAGCAAUAUAUUAAGAACUUUGAGAGAGAGAAGAUUAGUGGCGACCAACUACUACGUAUUACACAUCAAGAACUGGAAGAUCUUGGAGUCACGCGAAUUGGCCACCAGGAGCUUAUCUUGGAAGCAGUAGACUUGCUCUGCGCACUGAACUAUGGUUUGGAAACAGAAAAUCUGAAAACCCUUUCUCACAAACUAAAUGCAUCUGCCAAAAAUCUGCAGAACUUCAUCACUGGGAGGAGGAGAAGCGGUCACUAUGAUGGAAGAACCAGCCGCAAAUUACCAAAUGAUUUUCUGACAUCAGUAGUGGAUCUCAUUGGAGCAGCUAAAAGUCUGCUGGCUUGGUUGGACAGAUCACCUUUUGCUGCUGUGACAGAUUACUCAGUAACAAGAAAUAAUGUCAUACAGCUCUGUCUGGAACUAACAACAAUCGUACAACAGGAUUGCACAGUAUAUGAAACAGAGAAUAAAAUUCUUCAUGUGUGUAAAACACUCUCUGGCGUCUGUGAUCACAUUAUUUCACUCUCUUCUGAUCCACUGGUUUCCCAGUCAGCUCACCUUGAAGUGAUCCAGCUUACAAACAUCAAGCCAAGUGAAGGGCUGGGUAUGUACAUUAAAUCAACAUAUGAUGGUCUCCAUGUAAUUACUGGAACAACAGAAAAUUCACCUGCAGAUCGGUGCAAGAAAAUCCAUGCUGGGGAUGAAGUGAUUCAAGUUAACCACCAAACUGUGGUGGGGUGGCAGUUGAAAAAUUUGGUGAAUGCACUACGAGAGGAUCCGAGUGGUGUUAUCUUAACUUUGAAAAAGCGACCUCAGAGCAUGCUUACCUCAGCACCAGCUUUACUGAAAAAUAUGAGAUGGAAGCCCCUUGCUCUGCAGCCUCUUAUUCCCAGAAGUCCUACAAGCAGUGUUGCUACACCAUCCAGCACUAUCAGCACACCUACAAAAAGAGACAGCUCUGCCCUCCAGGAUCUCUACAUACCCCCUCCUCCAUCAGAACCUUAUGUUCCCAGGGACGAAAAGGGAAAUCUCCCAUGUGAUGAUGUCGGCAGACAUAUAGUAGGCAAACCGGUUCAUACAGGAUCCGAAUCUCCAAACUCAUUCCUUGACCAGGAAUAUCGAAAGCGCUUUAAUGUGGUUGAAGAAGAUGCAGUUUUAUAUUGCUAUGAGUACGACAAAGGAAGAACAAGUGGUCCUGGAAGGAGAGAGAGCACACCAACAUAUGGGAAACUAAGGCCUAUUUCUAUGCCAGUAGAAUAUAACUGGGUGGGGGAUUAUGAAGACCCCAAUAAAAUAAAAAGAGAUAGUAGGAGAGAAAAUUCAUUGCUUCGCUAUAUGAGCAAUGAGAAAAUAGGCCAAGAAGACUACAUGUUUCAAAGGAAUAGCAAAAAGGAUACUGGGAAAAAAUCGAAAAAGAAGGGAGACAAGGGUAAUAGUCCAAGUCAUUACUCAUUGUUGCCUAGUUUACAAAUGGACUCAUUGAGACAAGACGUCAUGGGCACACCUGGACCAGAGACCACUUUGUACCACACAUUUCAGCAGUCUUCUCUACAGCAGAAAAGUAAAAAGAAGAACAAAGCUCCUAUUCCUGGUAAAAGCAAAAGACGGAUCUCUUGUAAAGAUCUUGGCCGAGGAGACUGUGAAGGCUGGCUUUGGAAGAAGAAAGAUGCCAAGAGUUAUUUCUCCCAGAAAUGGAAAAAAUAUUGGUUCGUCCUGAAAGAUACAUCUCUCUAUUGGUAUAUCAAUGAAGAGGAUGAAAAAGCAGAAGGAUUCAUCAGUCUACCUGAAUUUAAAAUUGACAGAGCUAGUGAAUGCCGAAAGAAAUAUGCAUUCAAAGCCUGCCAUCCUAAGAUCAAAAGUUUUUAUUUUGCUGCUGAACAUCUAGAUGAUAUGAACAGAUGGCUAAACAGAAUUAACAUGCUUGCUGCUGGCUAUGCAGAAAGGGAGAGGAUCAAACAAGAGCAAGAUUACUGGAGUGAGAGUGAUAAGGAGGAAGCUGACACUCCAUCGACACCCAAACAAGACAGCCCCCCACCCCCGUACGACACAUACCCACGGCCUCCUUCGAUGAGCUGCGCAAGCCCUUACGUGGAGCCCAAGCACAGCCGGCUGUCCUCCACGGAGACCUCCCAGUCGCAGUCGUCGCAUGAGGAGUUCCGCCCGGAGGCGGCGGGGAGCGCCACCGACUCGCCGGUGCGCAAGACGGCGAGCCAGAGGCGCUCCUGGCAGGACCUCAUAGAGACGCCGCUGACGAGCUCGGGACUCCACUACCUGCAGACGCUGCCACUGGAGGACUCGGUGUUCUCCGAGGCGGCCGUGGUCUCCCCCGAGCACCGGCGGCAGUCCACCUUGCCCACCCAGAAGUGCCACCUGCAAGACCACUAUGGCCCCUUCCCACUCGUGGAGGGUGAGCGGAUGCAAGUGCUGAAUGGCAACGGGGGGAAGCCCCGAAGUUUCACGCUGCCUCGGGAUAGCGGCUUCAACCACUGCUGCCAGAGCCUUUCAGUUGGUGCCGCUGAUCACCACGAAGAAGCGCAGCAGAAGGAGGUGGAGGAGGAGGAGGAGGAAGAAGAGGGCAAAGCAGCAGAAGAAAACCAGGAAGAUAAAAAUGUUUUGUAUUGACACUGUCCUGUAAUGGUCGGUCUCUUGCUUUUUAAUGGAAGAGGAUUCUCUUGUGAGGCUAAUACACUGCGAGAGUUGAUAGCACCUCUCCAUGUCAAAUCGGAUCCACUUCUCUUGGCACUGAACCGAUUGGACUCAAAGGUUGAUAAACUUAUCAUUAGCGAAUUGGCACGACGGAGACUCAACUUCAGCCUCUUGCAAGCAAGCUAAUGGCCUCCGUUCAGAAAGUCAAUUCUUCUUGAAUAACUUUGGUGUUAUAAAAGAGAAACAGACCUGUUAAAGCAUAGACAACCACAUGCCUGGAUAUGAGGCCUCCAGGAAGGCGUCAAAGGGCAUGGCCAGUCUUUUGAAGAAUGCACCUUUCCACAAUGGGACUAGGCACAAGGUCAGAUCCAGUCUACACGGAGCACAUUUGCAGAAAAUACUGCCCCGCAUGGGAGAACGGAAGGGGAAGAGGGUCUUGGCAGGGGAAGGGCUUUGAUGUCAAUCAGUUUUGUUUCUGCAGACCUCAAGGAAUUAAAGAGGGAUUCAGCCACGGUAACGCUAAAAUCAUGUUGCUUUUGCUGAACUGCAGUGAAUCCAUUCAGGCCAACCAGACAGAUUGUGCCAUUUAAGCGUCCUUCACUAACGUGAAGGACGUUACCUUCCUGUAUCACGCUAAACUAAGUGUAUUCUGUCAAGUGAAGGUGUGCACAGACCUUUCAGAGACUUUUAUUUCUCUAAUGACUUGUAAUGCAUUACCAGAGGGUACACUGACACUGGUUUGGAUGAUGACGGAGAAGAUACCUCACGCUGAGAUUUAUUAGACUCUGCAGAUAAACUCUCAGCUCCUCUUUAUCUUCUAGGACUUAACCAUGUGAGUGACGCUGCCUGGCAAAGCAGGCACAAAGUAUUCUCUGUAUAACACCCAGAUUCCAGAGGGCUCUUUUGGGGCCAGUAUUUGGCUGGAUGUCACUCAAAGUAGAUUCAGAUAUUGUAUUUAUCACUAUGUUCUGGGUCCCCUAUGGGUUGAUGUUUGCCUCUAUCUCUGUGGUUAGAAUGUGGAUUUUCCUUAAUAUAUUUGGCUAAGGGUGUAUUGUAAUAAUGUUAAUGCUAAUUACUUGAUAUUUCAUACUAUCUUAUGGGGAGAUACUUUUAAAAAUGUAUUUGAAAUGUUUUCUUUCUGUUUGCUCAAUGUAUGGUAUUGCAUUAUGUUAAUACCAAUAAAAUUAUAUAUAUAUAGUUAUAUAUAUUUCCCUUUUAUAAAGAAGUAAAUUAUGCUUUUUUGCCUCACAAACAAGAAAUGUGCAGUGAAUAAAAUUACAUCAUUCUGCCUUACAGCAGGUGACAAAGCUUAUAAUAGUUUUAAUAUUCUUUUUUGAAAAAUAAAAAGUAUAGUAUGACAUACACUAGUUGGAAAUUCAUCAAAAUGCAUGUUGUGUUUCUGCUUAAUGGGACUGUCACGAAUCAGCCUAAGUAUUUAACAAUGUUGUUUUGGCAUCUUUAAUUUUUUCCAAUCAAAAGCAUACACUGUAUUGCUAUUAUUGCUUACAAAAUUGUACUUUCAUAAAUUUUUGCCUGUUGACCAAAUAGACAAACCCACUGAGUUUUUAUGACUCUCUUGUCUGUAGGAAUUGAUUUUUAAAUUUAAUUCAGUGCUCUUUUCAAUGCUUGGCAAAGGCAGGAUUUAUUUUUUAUAUAAGGUUGCCUUUGAAGUACCUGCCUCUGCCAGGGCUGAUAAAUCACUGCUAAGUACAUAAAGGUUCUGCAACCUGAAGGAUGUAUCAUUAAAACCAUGCUGGAAUGGCCUGAAACCUGAGCCAGUCCUUUCUGUUCUGUCAUUAAACUCCAUAAUUAGUUAGAGAUGAAAUGUUUUGGAAAUGAAUUAGAGAAGCAGAAGCAAAGAUGUGAAUCUUAAAUGUCCUUUGGCUGCCAUUCUGGGUUACGCUGAUGGCUUAUUUGCCGCCUGUAGCCAAAGGCCAGCAUAUAUCUGAGCUAUCAUGAAUUAGAUUGUCUUCAGCUUCCUCUCUUUCUUUUCCCCACCCUUUCUAACAUAUUGUAAUGAGUAUCAUUGUUUUGCAGAGGCAUUCAGAAGGGCUGUAAUUAGCAGUCCCUGGCAUUUAAUUGCAUACACAUUUGUUAAAUAUUUUUCUGUAUGCCUUAAAAUAAAGUAUAGAAAAUGGCAGUAAUGUUUCUUUAAUGAAGGCAUUUGAUUUAUUCAUGAAGUCAGGAUUUUU